rnacentral:rRNA from 1 species
AUGAUGCUUCUAUGGGUUGAAUUAAUUUGCUUAUUCAGUAACAAUGCUACUACUGGGACAGGCAGUUUUUCUUCUUUGAUGGUAAGAGAUGGAACUUAUAGACGACGUAAUGCCGGUGCUCUGGGAAAGAAGCUGAAUGAUCUGGGAAUUCCCAGAAGCACCUUGGUUUCUAAGACGGUCGCUACACCGCGACUCCGCCCGCCGUGCUCGACUUUGAGGGAUUAUGCUACUCAAGCAUCUUGCCGUGAAAUCAGAGAUGUCCUGGAGCACCAAGCAUCUGUUCGGUCUUUGGUUUUCUGGUUUAAUAUGAUCUAUCUGGUGCUAUCAUGA